rnacentral:tRNA from 1 species
GGGGCGCACGCCGAACGGUUCGGCACCCGGCUUUUAACCGGAGACCCGAGGGUUCGACUCCCUCGCGCCCCA